AACCGUAACUGUGGUCAUGCCUA
rnacentral:siRNA from 1 species